rnacentral:tRNA from 1 species
GGGGGUGUAGCUCAGUGGUAGAGUACUUGCCUAGCAUGCAUGAACCCUGAGUUCAAUUCCUAGUAAAUUCU